rnacentral:rRNA from 1 species
GACGAACGCUGGCGGCGUGCUUAACACAUGCAAGUCGAACGGAAAGGCCCUGCUUUUGUGGGGUGCUCGAGAGGCGAACGGGUGAGUAACACGUGAGUAACCUGCCCUUGACUGUGUGAUAACUUCAGGAAACUGGGGCGAAUACCGGAUAGGAGCUCCUGCUGCACGGUGGGGGUUGGAAAGAUUCGGCGGUUCGGGCUGGUCUCGCGGCUUAUCAGCUGGUUGGUGGGGUAGUUGCUGACCACGGCUUCGACGGGUAGCCGGCCUGAGAGGGUGACCGGCCACAUUACGACUAAGAUACGCACCAGAAUCCUACGGGAGGCAGCAGUCGGGAAUAUUGCACAAUAGCCGGAAGCCUGAUACAGAAACGCCGCGUGCGGGAUGACGGCCUUCGGGUUGUAAACCGAUUUCGCAUGUGCCGAAGCGUGAGUGACGGUAAUGGGUAAAGAAGCACCGGCUAACUACGUG